GUCGUAACAAGGUUUCCGUAGGUGAACCUGCGGAAGGAUCAUC
rnacentral:rRNA from 1 species